rnacentral:lncRNA from 1 species
UCGAUCAAGCGCGGAUUGGAGAUGGAACUUUCGGUGAAGGCUUGAGUUCAAGGAGCUUAUGCGGAAGUUUGGGUUGUGUUAUGCCAAAGCCUUGGCGUCGCGAGAUCUUGUUGUGUUUGCGCCUUCGAGUUUUCCGGCACACUUGAGACCAUCAUGGUCUGUUUGGGGCACUGCUGGAGCGCUUCUUCCAUUAUUUUCGGAUGGGUUUGUUGUGUGGUUGACCCGCAGUUUCGCCGACGAAACUCCUUUUUAGGAGGGGAGAAUGUAACAUACUGGACCUUUGCAAAUUGCGAGGUUCGAGUGUUUGGACUGUGUCCUGAGCUUUUCCAGAUUUUUUGGUGGGUCGUUGAUAGUGUUCCGACCUAUGGUUCGAAUUCCGAGAAUUGUAG